rnacentral:tRNA from 1 species
UAGAUUAUGGUGUAAGUUGGUAACACGGAGAUUUUUGAGUUCUCAGAUGCAGGUUCGAUACCUGUUUUUCUAG